rnacentral:rRNA from 1 species
AAAUGUCUUCGGUUGGGGCGACCAUGGGGGAAAGAAAAGCCCCCACGAGGAACUAGGGGCAAUCCAUUAAGCCAAGAGAUACACCUCUAAGCAACAGAAAAUCUGACCAAAAAUGACCCAGGACACUAAUCCUGAUCAACGAACCAAGUUACCCUAGGGAUAACAGCGCAAUCCUUUCCCAGAGUCCAUAUCGACGAAAGGGUUUACGACCUCGAUGUUGGAUCAGGACAUCCUAAUGGUGCAGCCGCUAUUAAGGGUUCGUUUGUUCAACGAUUAAUAGUCCUACGUGAUCUGAGUUCA